rnacentral:lncRNA from 1 species
CUUGGGAAAUCAGCAAAAUAACAUGGAAUUAAUUUGUGAAAUUAUUAACGAUCAAGUUUUUCAGAGCAUAUACAAUACUCUCAACUCAUAAGACAUUGCGUAACUUAGGAAAUCAGAUGGAAUUAACUUGUAAAAUCAACAAGUGGAAUUAACUGAUGGAAGAAGUCAGUAAAAUUUUCGAUUAUUUUGACAGUGUCACAUUCUCCGUCACCCUGGAAGAGAUAAAGAUUUUUGGACAUUUUUGAAAGCAACAAAUGCCUUUCCUGUAAAAAUCACAGAACUUACAGAAUGCACCUUAUAUUUACUAUUUGCUGCAGUCCUAAAUGAAAUUAUUAACGAUCAAGUUUUUCAGAGCAUAUACAAUACUCUCAAUUCCUAUAACUUGAGAAACCCGAAAGAUAAGAUGGAAUUAAUUGAUGGAAGAAGUCAGUAAAAUUUUCAAUUAUUUUGACAGUGUCACACCUCCGUCACCCUGGAAGAGAUAAAGAGUUUUGGACAUUUUUGAAAUCAACAAAUGCCUUUCCUGUAAAAAUCACAGAACUUACAGAAUGCACCUUAUAUUUACUAUUUGCUGCAGUCCUAAAUGAAAUUAUUAACGAUCAAGUUUUUCAGAGUAUAUACAAUGCUAUCAACUCAUAUAAGACGUUGCGUAACUUAGGAAUUCAGCAAAAAAACAUGGAAUUAAUUUGUGAAAUUAUUAACGAUCAAGUUUUUCAGAGCAUAUACAAUACUCUCAACUCAUAACAGACGUUGCGUAACUUGUGAAUUCAGCAAAAAAACAUGGAAUUAAUUUGUGAAAUUAUUAAUGAUCAAGUUUUUCAGAGCAUAUACAAUGCUCUCAACUCAUAACAGACGUUCGUAUAACAAGUUUUUCAGAGCAUAUACAAUACUCUCAACUCAUAACAGACGUUGCGUAACUUGUGAAUUCAGCAAAAAAACAUGGAAUUAAUUUGUGAAAUUAUUAAUGAUCAAGUUUUUCAGAGCAUAUACAAUACUCUCAACUCAUAACAGACGUUGCUAACUUGUGAAUUCAGCAAAAAAACAUGGAAUUAAUUUGUGAAAUUAUUAACGAUCAAGUUUUUCAGAGCAUAUACAAUACUCUCAACUCAUAUACAGACGUUGCGUAACUUGUGAAUUCAGCAAAAAACAUGGAAUUAAUUUGUGAAAUUAUUAAUGAUCAAGUUUUUCAGAGCAUAUACAAUGCUCUAAUUCCAACUCUCAACUCAUAUAAGACGUUGCGUAACUUGUGAAUUCAGCAAAAAAACAUGGAAUUAAUUUGUGAAAUUAUUAAUGAUCAAGUUUUUCAGAGCAUAUACAAUGCUCUCAACUCAUAUAAGACGUUGCGUAACUUGUGAAUUCAGCAAAAAACAUGGAAUUAAUUUGUGAAAUUAUUAAUGAUCAAGUUUUUCAGAGCAUAUACAAUGCUCUCAACUCAUAUAAGACGUUGCGUAACUUGUGAAUUCAGCAAAAAAACAUGGAAUUAAUUUGUGAAAUUAUUAAUGAUCAAGUUUUUCAGAGCAUAUACAAUGCUCUCAACUCAUAUAAGACGUUGCGUAACUUGUGAAUUCAGCAAAAAAACAUGGAAUUAAUUUGUGAAAUUAUUAAUGAUCAAGUUUUUCAGAGCAUAUACAAUGCUCUCAACUCAUAUAAGACGUUGCGUAACUUGUGAAUUCAGCAAAAAAACAUGGAAUUAAUUUGUGAAAUUAUUAAUGAUCAAGUUUUUCAGAGCAUAUACAAUGCUCUCAACUCAUAUAAGACGUUGCGUAACUUCGGUAAUCAGCAAAAUAACAUGGAAUUAACUUGUAAAAUUAUAAACGAUCAAGUUUUUCAGAGCAUAUACAAUGUUCUCAACUCAUAACAGACGUUGCGUAACUUCGGUAUUCAGCAAAAUAACAUGGAAUUAAUUUGUGAAAUUAUUAACGAUCAAGUUUUGCAGAGUAUAUACAAUACUCUCAACUCAUAUAAGACAUUGCGUAACUUAGGAAAUCCGCAAAGCAACUUGAAAUUAACUGAUGGAAGUAGUCAGUAAAAUUUUCGAUUAUUUUGACAGUGUCACACCUCCGUCACCCUGGAAGAGAUAAAGAGUUUUGGACAUUUUUGAAAGCAACAAAUGCCUUUCCUGUAAAAAUCACAAAACUUACAGAAUGCACCUUAUAUUUACUAUUUGCUGCAGUCCUAAAUGAAAUUAUUAACGAUCAAGUUUUGCAGAGCAUAUACAAUACUCUCAAUUACUAUAACUUGAGAAACCCGAAAGAUAAGAUGGAAUUAAUUGAUGGAAGAAGUCAGUAAAAUUUUCAAUUAUUUUGACAAUUUCACAUUCUCCGUCACCCUGGAAGAGAUAAAGAGUUUUGGACAUUUUUGAAAUCAACAAAUGCCUUUCCUGUAAAAAUCACAGAACUUACAGAACGCACCUUGAAUUUACUAUUUGCUGCAGUCCUAAGUGAAAUUAUUGACGAUCAAGUUUUGCAGAGUAUAUACAAUGCUAUCAACUCAUAUAAGACAUUGCGUAACUUAGGAAAUCAGCAAAAUAACAUGGAAUUAAUUUGUGAAAUUAUUAACGAUCAAGUUUUUCAGAGCAUAUACAAUGCUAUCAACUCAUAUAAGACGUUGCAUAACUUGGGAAAUCAGCAAAAUAACAUGGAAUUAAUUUGUGAAAUUAUUAACGAUCAAGUUUUUCAGAGCAUAUACAAUACUCUCAACUCAUAACAGACGUUGCGUAACUUGUGAAUUCAGCAAAAAAACAUGGAAUUAAUUUGUGAAAUUAUUAAUGAUCAAGUUUUUCAGAGCAUAUACAAUGCUCUCAACUCAUAUAAGACGUUGCGUAACUUGUGAAUUCAGCAAAAAAACAUGGAAUUAAUUUGUGAAAUUAUUAAUGAUCAAGUUUUUCAGAGCAUAUACAAUGCUCUCAACUCAUAUAAGACGUUGCGUAACUUGUGAAUUCAGCAAAAAAACAUGGAAUUAAUUUGUGAAAUUAUUAAUGAUCAAGUUUUUCAGAGCAUAUACAAUGCUCUCAACUCAUAUAAGACGUUGCGUAACUUGUGAAUUCAGCAAAAAAACAUGGAAUUAAUUUGUGAAAUUAUUAAUGAUCAAGUUUUUCAGAGCAUAUACAAUGCUCUCAACUCAUAUAAGACGUUGCGUAACUUCGGUAAUCAGCAAAAUAACAUGGAAUUAACUUGUAAAAUUAUAAACGAUCAAGUUUUUCAGAGCAUAUACAAUGUUCUCAACUCAUAACAGACGUUGCGUAACUUCGGUAUUCAGCAAAAUAACAUGGAAUUAAUUUGUGAAAUUAUUAACGAUCAAGUUUUGCAGAGUAUAUACAAUACUCUCAACUCAUAUAAGACAUUGCGUAACUUAGGAAAUCCGCAAAGCAACUUGAAAUUAACUGAUGGAAGUAGUCAGUAAAAUUUUCGAUUAUUUUGACAGUGUCACACCUCCGUCACCCUGGAAGAGAUAAAGAGUUUUGGACAUUUUUGAAAGCAACAAAUGCCUUUCCUGUAAAAAUCACAAAACUUACAGAAUGCACCUUAUAUUUACUAUUUGCUGCAAUCCUAAAUGAAAUUAUUAACGAUCAAGUUUUGCAGAGCAUAUACAAUACUCUCAAUUACUAUAACUUGAGAAACCCGAAAGAUAAGAUGGAAUUAAUUGAUGGAAGAAGUCAGUAAAAUUUUCAAUUAUUUUGACAAUGUCACAUUCUCCGUCACCCUGGAAGAGAUAAAGAGUUUUGGACAUUUUUGAAAUCAACAAAUGCCUUUCCUGUAAAAAUCACAGAACUUACAGAAUGCACCUUAUAUUUACUAUUUGCUGCAGUCCUAAAUGAAAUUAUUAACGAUCAAGUUUUUCAGAGCAUAUACAAUACUCUCAACUCAUAACAGACGUUGCGUAACUUGUGAAUUCAGCAAAAAAACAUGGAAUUAAUUUGUGAAAUUAUUAACGAUCAAGUUUUUCAGAGUAUAUACAAUGCUAUCAACUCAUAUAAGACGUUGCGUAACUUAGGAAUUCAGCAAAAUAACAUGGAAUUAAUUUGUGAAAUUAUUAACGAUCAAGUUUUUCAGAGCAUAUACAAUGUUCUCAACUCAUAACAGACAUUGCGUAACUUCGGUAUUCAGCAAAAUAACAUG